rnacentral:rRNA from 1 species
GACAGAGGGGGCAAGCGUUGUCCGGAAUUACUGGGCGUACAGGGCACGCAGGUGGUUGCUUAGGUGGCGUGUGAAAGCCCCGCGCUUAACGCGGGGAGGCCACGCCAAACGGUGCGGCUCGAGCGAUGCAGAGGGUGGUGGAAUUGCCGGUGUAGUGGUGAAAUGCGUAGAGAUCGGCAGGAACACCAAGGACGAAGGUAACCACCUGGGCAUCAGCUGACACUCAUGUGCGACAGCGUGGGGAGCGAACCGG